GGUCGUGUAGUGUAGUGGUUAGCACGAAGGAUUUUGACCAUUGCCAAUUGCCUCGUCUACAACGGCGUUAAUUGGGAAAUGUUCCUUAGUCCCCGGUUCGAACCCGGGCACGACCU